rnacentral:lncRNA from 10 species
GAAGACAAGCAGAUGAGGAGACAAAACCUACUGAUGUGGGUACCCAAGCAGGAACCCCCCUCUUGCACCGGCGACUCACGUGGGAAGAAGAAUUCACUGAGCUGAAAUGGAGUGAGAGCUAAGAUGCUCUCAGAAUAUUCUUAAAAUGACUGUGCUGCAAAGAAGCCCGGGUGAAUAGAAGAAAAUAGAAGGAAUGGUGGAUACAAGUGAAGGUUAAAAUGAGACCCCAUUUAUCGCACCAGCUGUUGGUGAUUUCAGCGCACCUUUCCAAGCCUCUUGAGAGUUCUGCUCUAACCACACUGCCCCCUAGUGUUCUCUCGCUUUGGUGCAACGUCCGUCUUGUACACUUCCUUCCACAGACCUGUAAUCAGCUAUUUCUUCAGGGAGCCUGUGAUUCCUUUUAGUGGAAAAUGGUAUGUAGAGAACAUUAUCUGUGUGUGAAGGGUUGAGCACGUUCCAUCUUUUC